rnacentral:rRNA from 1 species
ACGAGUUUGAUCUGGCUCAGGACGAACGCUGGCGGCGUGCCUAAUACAUGCAAGUCGAGCGGACCAAAGGGAGCUUGCUCCUGGAGGUUAGCGGCGAACGGGUGAGUAACACGUGGGCAACCUGCCUGUAAGACUGGGAUAACAUCGAGAAAUCGGUGCUAAUACCGGAUAAUAAAAAGAACUGCAUGGUUCUUUUUUGAAAGAUGGUUUCGGCUAUCACUUACAGAUGGGCCCGCGGCGCAUUAGCUAGUUGGUGAGGUAACGGCUCACCAAGGCGACGAUGCGUAGCCGACCUGAGAGGGUGAUCGGCCACACUGGGACUGAGACACGGCCCAGACUCCUACGGGAGGCAGCAGUAGGGAAUCUUCCGCAAUGGACGAAAGUCUGACGGAGCAACGCCGCGUGAGUGAUGAAGGUUUUCGGAUCGUAAAACUCUGUUGUUAGGGAAGAACAAGUGCCGUUCGAAAGGGCGGCACCUUGACGGUACCUAACGAGAAAGCCACGGCUAACUACGUG